rnacentral:misc_RNA from 1 species
UUGCAAUGUUUUAACAGACAAUUAAUGUUUCGAACUGUUGUCUCUUUUAACAUAUAUACAGGUGUUGAUUCUAUGGAUACCGAUGAUGUUGUUUAGUUCAAGAUUACAAGUGGAAGGUACAGGUGAACAUGAUACGGAUUGUUACAAUAACUGUAACUGUUGUAAGCAUGAACGUUGCCAUUAUGAAUUUGGCUGGGAUAAUGUCUGCACACACGGAUGCAUCGAUCGUCACAGAGGUGCUAGAUGUUAUGCUUUAUGUACAUACAAUUGUGCAUCGUGUGAAAAUCACGAAGAUAUAUGUACUGAAUGUUUCGAGGGUUUUCAUCUUGGACCAAAUAAAGAUUGUACACCAGAAUGUCCCGCUAACUGCAUAGCUUGUACUUCUAACACAACGUGUACUGCUUGUAAGGACGGUUAUUAUAACAAAGGAGGAUCAACCGCGUGUCCGUACUCUGUUUGCCCUGUGAAUUGUAAGUGCAGUGGUAAUACGUGUACAACUUGUAGAAAUGGUUUCUAUUACACGGGCAAUGACUGUAGUAAAGAAUGUCCGUCUAACUGUUUGACCUGUUUAUCCAGAGAUAUAUGUAAUGAAUGUAAACAUGGAUUUUAUAAUGGGUAUGAAUUUGACAAUAACGGAAGACAGCCAUCCAAUAAUUGCACAUACAAAUGCAGAGAAAGCUGCACGAAAUGUCAAACAUACAACAACUGCACUCAGUGUGUUAAAGGAAAAUAUGGCAAAAAAUGUCAGAAUAAUUAUUCCAUUGGUUGCAAAGGUCAGAUAUGCCAUAUUGAGUCUGGUAAUUGUUCGUGCUCGUUACACUUUUAUGGUGACAAAUGUGCGGAUUGUGUUAAUGGAAAAUAUGGAACCUAUUGUAAUGAGACUUGUCCAGAACACUGCAAAAAUGGUAAGUGUAAAAAAACUUCAGGAUAUUGUAGUGAAGGUUGCGCCACUAACACAAUAGUUGGCGCAACGUGUAAUACCUGUACAGUUGGGAUGCACGGUAUUUUUUGUGAGAAAAUGUGUCCUACAAACUGCAAAGCUAAAACGUGUAACCGAACAACUGGAUUUUGUUCUGGGGGUUGUGAAGGCAACUUUAAAGGUCAACUGUGUGACACUUGUAUACAAGGAAAGUAUGGAGUAGCAUGUGAACAAGAUUGUUCAUUAAAAUGAGAAAAUGCUUUAUGUGAGAAAGAGACUGGAAAGUGCAUCAGCUGUUCUGGCACUUUUGAUGGGGACAGUUGUAAAAACUGUCAGCCUGGCUUCCGUGGACAGAAUUGCUAUGACAGAUGUUCUACUCACUGCUACAAUACCACAUGUGGCAUCAAUACCGGUGUUUGCGAUUAUGGUUGCACAGAUGACUAUUCGGGUGACAUGUGUUGUGUGUCAGGCAAAAACUGUUUAAGGUGCGCUUCCAAAAUUGAAUGCAGAGAAUGUAAAUCUGAUUAUUUCGGUCAUUUGUGUGACAAAUCAUGCCCUGUUAACUGUCUUGGUUCCUGUGACAUCUCUACAGGCGUUUGUCGCGAUUGCAUUUUAAAUCAUUUUGGACCCUUCUGUAAUAGAACAUGCUCUGAAAAUUGCAAUGCUUUAGGCAGUGGGGACACACGUCAUUGUACGUCAAUUAAUGGAAGUUGCACCUUUGGUUGUAAAAUUGGUUUCUAUGGCAUAACGUGUAAUGAAACAUGUAGCGACCUUUGUAUUGACAAUAUUUGUAAACAGGAUAGUGGCAUAUGUGUAAAAGGGUGUGGAUACACAAGCAACGACGACCCAGUUUGUGUUCUUGAUUUAGGCAAAACGCCGCUUGCUCCCGAUGAUUCAACAGCAAGGACUACAAAUAUUAUUUUAGGAACACUUUUGGCUUUAGCUACUUCUGCAUUGUGUAUCUUGUUGUUACGGAAAAUAAUAAGGAAAAUACCAUCUACAGACAGGCAAACCGAGAAUUCUUCAUAUCAAAUUCCAUUAGACCAUUCGUUGGUAGUGAAUCAAGUUCCACAAGACGGUGUUUCUGAAGCAGAUAAUUCCGCUUAUGAGAUGCUCGAGAGAGCGCAGAGUACUCCUGAACACACGUAUGAUACAGCUUCCGCCGGUGCUCCUUAAAGUAUGGUCAAUCCUGGACACACAGAUUAUAUGAAUCUGCAAACCCAAAAGUCACGGAAUGCCAAUAAUCGCCCGUGAUCGUUAAAA